AUGAUUUCAUCCCUGAAUUUCACAAACAUGCCCACAACAGCCUCGUCCUUGUUCUCCGCCUACGCCUCCUUGACAGCAUUCCUCAUGUUGGCUAAUUCCAUGGCGGACCAGCUCAUCCCCCACUGGCUCCGCUCCUACCUCCACUCCGUCCUCCCCUUCUUCUACACCCCUAAAUCCUCCACCCUCACUCUCAUAGUCGACGAGAUGUCCGGCAUGAACAACAACCAAGUCUACGAGGCGGCGCAGGUCUACCUCCAAACCAAGAUCAGUUCUAUCAACGAACGUCUAAAGGUCAGCAAAACCCCUAGGCAAAAGACCAUAACUCUCUCCAUUGAGCAAAACGAGGAGAUCAUUGACGCUUUCGAGAACAUCAAGCUCAAGUGGCGCUACGUGUGCAGCGAAAGCAAGGAUCAUCAUCAUGGUGAUGGUGAUAAGAAACACUUUGAGCUAACGUUUCUCAAGAAGCACAAAGCGUCGGUGGUGGAAGCAUACUUGCCAUAUGUGUUGGCUAGGGCAAAGGCGAUUAACGAAGAGGAGAAGGUGCUCAAGCUCGACUCGAGUCACUCCGGUUCGGUUGAUCUUGAGCACCCUUCGACUUUUGACACAUUGGCUAUUGAUCCGGAGCUAAAGAGCAUGAUUAUCGACGAUUUGGAUAGGUUUGUGAAGAGGAAGGAGUUCUAUAAGAAGGUUGGGAAGGCUUGGAAAAGAGGGUACUUGCUAUAUGGUCCGCCUGGCACUGGCAAGUCUAGCUUGAUUGCAGCCAUGGCCAAUUACCUCAAGUUUGAUGUGUAUGAUUUGGAGCUUAGUAAUGUUUACUGCGACCGUGAUUUGAAGAGGAGAUUGCUGGCUACUUCAAAUCGGUCCAUCUUGGUGAUUGAGGACAUUGACUGCAACGCCGAAACCGAAAACCGGGAGACAGAUAGGCAGGUUCAACGCUCUAGCAACAAUACGUUCUCGCUGUCAGGUCUGCUCAACUUCAUAGAUGGUUUGUGGUCAAGUAUUGGUGAUGAGAGGAUCAUUAUCUUCACCACUAACCAUAAGGAUCGGCUAGACCCUGCAUUGUUGCGACCGGGACGUAUGGACGUGCACAUUCAUAUGUCUUAUUGCACUCCAAGCGGCUUCAGGAUCUUGGCCUCGAACUACCUUGGCAUUCAUGAGAGCAACCCUCAUCGGCUCUGCGGAGAGAUUGAAGGGUUGAUAGAGAGCACAAACGUCACCCCUGCGGAGGUUGCGGAGGAGCUAAUGAAGAGUGAUGAUGCUGAUGUUGCUCUACAAGGACUUGUCAAUUUCCUCAAAAGAAAGGAGAUCGAGAACAAUGAGACCAAGGAUGAAGGGACUAAUAAAACUGAAGAUCAAGAAGCAAAAAAAGCCUUGUUCUCAGCCUAUGCCUCCUUCACCGCAUUCGUGCAGUUGGUUCGUGCCAUGGUUGAGCAAAUCCUUCCCAACCGGCUCCGGUUAUACAUUAUCAACAAACUCAAGGACUACUUCUUCCCUCCUCUGAGCUCUGAAGACAUGACUCUAAUGAUCAACCUAUACUCUGCCUCUCGGAUGACUGAAAACCAAGUCUAUGACGCUGCAGAGGUCUAUCUUGCAUCCAAGAUCAAACCCUCCGAGAAGCUCCUCCUAGUGAGCAAAAGCCGUGAUCAGAAGACCAUCAGUUUCGCCAAUGCGAAACGUGACACCAUCAUCGAUACAUUUGAGGGGAUUGAGCUCAAGUGGAGCCAUUUCUGCCCCUCAAAGAGAUCAGAUGCUGUUCAAGAUGACUAUGAGCCACAAAAACAUCACUUUAACUUGACGUUUCACGCCAAACACAAGGCAAAAGUGAUGGAGUUGUCCUCACUGUUCUCAGCCUAUGCCUCCUUCACUGCAUUCAUGAUGUUGGUCCGUACUGUUCUCAAAGAACUCAAAGACUUCAUCCCCCGCAGGGUUCGAUCAUACAUAUACUCCAAGUUUGAGUACUACUUCUUUGGACCUACUUCGAAUCAGCUAACUCUUGUCAUAAACAAGCACAGUGGCAUGACCCUCAACGAGGUCUAUGAGAAGGUAGAGGUCUACCUUGGAGCCAAGAUUAGUCCCUCGGAUAAGCGUCUUGUCCUGAGCAAAACAAAGAAGCAAAAGACUGUGAGCCUAGCCAUUGAAAAGAGAGGCCAAGUUGUCAUUGACACCUUUGAUGGCAUUGAGCUCCAAUGGCAGUACCGGUACAGAGAAAAAAACAGGCAGAAUAAUGAGGUUGAGUCCGAGUGGUGGUUUGAUUUAACGUUCAAAGAAAAAUACAAAGCCAAAGUGAUAGACUCCUACAUUCCCUAUGUGUUUGCUCAAGCUGAUUCCAUUCAACAAGGAGUAAGGGUUCUAAAGCUUUAUGCCUUCAACAAUACUUAUAGUGGCACCACCACUUCAGGUAGUAUAGAUCUUGUGCACCCUGCUACAUUUGAUACAGUGGCAAUGGAUCCAGAACUUAAGAAAAUGAUUAUAGAAGACUUGGAUAGGUUUGUGGAGAGGAGAGAAUUAUAUAAGAAGGUUGGGAAGGCAUGGAAAAGAGGAUAUUUGUUAUAUGGUCCACCUGGGACUGGAAAAUCUAGCUUAAUUGCGGCCAUGGCUAAUUAUCUCAAGUUUGAUAUCUACGAUUUGGAGCUUGCUAAUGUACAUAGCAACGCUGAUCUCAGGAAGGUAUUGAUGGCUACUACAAAUCGUUCUAUUCUGAUCAUCGAGGAUAUUGAUUGCUGCGUGCAUAUAGAAAGGGAAUCAAGUCAAUCAACUCAGUCUUCUGCUUAAUCAAGCAAUAAGCUCACACUCUCGGGGCUACUCAACUUCAUAGAUGGUUUAUGGUCGUGCUGCGGAGAUGAGAGAAUAAUUGUGUUCACAACCAAUCACAAGGAGAGACUAUACCCUGCAUUGUUGCGUCCUGGUCGCAUGGACGUGCACAUUCACUUGUCAUACUGCACUCCGAGUGCGUUCAGAACCUUAGCCUCUAAUUACCUUGGCAUUCAUAAAAGCAAUCCUCAUCACCUCUGUGAGGAAAUUGAAAGCUUAAUAGGGAGUACAGAGGUGACCCCUGCAGCAGUAGCUGGGGAGUUUAUGAAGAGUGAUGAUGCAGAUGUUGUUCUUGAGGGGCUUUUAAAAUUCCUCAAAGAAAAGAAGGCCGUUGAUGAUAAGAAUAAGUUAGAAAAAGCUAAAACAGCAGAGCUAGCUGGAAGGGACUAA